AUGAAUUUUCUUUUAGCAAACAUUGACAAAUUUUUGAUUGCUUGCAAAGUUUCCACAUCGGAUGACAUUCGUGAAAAACGUGGUGACAAAAACGAUGCUCCAAAAGCUUUUGAAGCAUCAUUUUUGUUUUUCUGCCAUGUCUUCCACGAAUGUCAUUUCGUGAUGAAACCUUGCCAGAGAGGCUGGCCGAUCGAAUGGGCGGGAUGUGGCUGUCAAGGUGCUGCUACGAUGUCUCAACUGCGAGCCCGAGCUCACAACAGAGGAAUGGCGGUAUGGCAUCAUGAUGAUCAGCACAAAGCCGGCUGCGAGCCACGCAAGAGCUAUUUGGGCGACAAAAAAAAAGAACAAUGGUACAUGUGCUUGUUGGCACGUUAG
rnacentral:rRNA from 1 species